rfam:Dendroctonus ponderosae Seq01024752, whole genome shotgun sequence.
AUUGAAUUUACUUUCAGCAUAUUGGAGAUGGCAGCACAAGUACGUCCAACCAAAGCGAGCCGGAAUCGCUCCAUUUUUACAAGUCGUAGUUGGAUGCAUGGGAAUCUUUUAUGUCUUCAACUAUGACAAGAUCUGUGAGUAAAUUUCGUAAAUUACAC